CGAAGUCGCAAGCUCGCGAGAGUAAGCUAAUCUCUUAAAGCCGUUCUCAGUUCGGACUGUAGGCUGCAACUCGCCUACACGAAGUCGGAAUCGCUAGUAAUCGCGGAUCAGCAUGCCGCGGUGAAUACGUUCCCGGGCCUUGUACACACCGCCCGUCACACCACGGGAGUUUGUAACGCCCAAAGUCGGUGGCCUAACCUUUAUGGAGGGAGCCGCCUAAGGCGGGACAGAUGACUGGGGUGAAGUCGUAACAAGGUAUC
rnacentral:rRNA from 1 species